AUACGGAGGAUGCGAGCGUUAUCCGGAUUUAUUAGGUUUAAAGGGUGUGUAGGCGGUAUUUUAAGUCAGUGGUGAAAUCUCGGAGCUUAACUUCGAAACUGCCAUUGAUACUGGAAUACUUGAGUAUAGUUGAGGUAGGCGGAAUAUGUAAUGUAGCGGUGAAAUGCAUAGAUAUUACAUAGAACACCGAUUGCGAAGGCAGCUUACUAAACUAUUACUGACGCUGAUGCACGAAAGCGUGGGGAGCGAACAGGAUUAGAUACCCCGGUAGUCC
rnacentral:rRNA from 1 species